rnacentral:tRNA from 1 species
UCCCUGGUGGUUCAGUGAUUAGGACUCUGCGCUUUCACUGCAGGGGCAUGGGUUUGAUCCCUGGUCAGGGAA